GCCCCGUUAGUCUAGCCCGGUCAAUUUAAUAACCGAGAGGAUACAGCCCUUUCAAGGCUGUGACGCGAGUUCGAAUCUCGCACGGGGCA
rnacentral:tRNA from 1 species